rnacentral:rRNA from 1 species
GACGAACGCUGGCGGCGUGCUUAACACAUGCAGGUCGAACGAAGAGCGAUGGAAGCUUGCUUCUAUCAAUCUUAGUGGCGAACGGGUGAGUAACGCGUAAUCAACCUGCCCUUCAGAGGGGGACAACAGUUGGAAACGACUGCUAAUACCGCAUACGAUCUAAUCUCGGCAUCGAGGAUAGAUGAAAGGUGGCCUCUACAUGUAAGCUAUCACUGAAGGAGGGGAUUGCGUCUGAUUAGCUAGUUGGAGGGGUAACGGCCCACCAAGGCGAUGAUCAGUAGCCGGUCUGAGAGGAUGAACGGCCACAUUGGGACUGAGACACGGCCCAGACUCCUACGGGAGUCAGCAGUGGGGAAUCUUCCGCAAUGGACGAAAGUCUGACGGAGCAACGCCGCGUGAGUGAUGACGGCCUUCGGGUUGUAAAGCUCUGUUAAUCGGGACGAAAGGCCUUCUUGCGAAUAGUGAGAAGGAUUGACGGUACCGGAAGAGAAAGCCACGGCUAACUACGUG